rnacentral:rRNA from 1 species
AGUGAACGCUAGCGGUGCGCCUAACACAUGCAAGUCGAUCGACUCUUCGAGAGGAGCGGCGAACGGCUGAGUAACACGUUGGAACCUGCCCCAAACUCAGGGAUAACAUCGAGAAAUCGGUGCUAAUACCGGAUAGUCCCGCAAGGGUAAAGCUUUUGCGGUUUGGGAGGGUCCUGCGGCCUAUCAGUUAGUUGGUGAGGUAAUAGCUCACCAAGACGAUGACGGGUAGCUGGUCUGAGAGGACGACCAGCCAGAAUGGGACUGAGACACGGCCCAU